AUGUGUGGUUGGUUGAUCUUUACAGAACUGCAAAGCUCUUCUAGCCAGUGUAAUACACAAGAGAUCAGCAUCAACCUUGGAGUUGGUCCAGGAAGUUUGUCCUGCUCUAUUCAAGUGGAUGUGGCUCGUCCUGUUUUCAAGGGAAUGGAAGCUCGAUCUGGCAUCUUCACCGUGUUGACUGUGACUUCCAUCCUACAGGACGAGUUCGGAUAUCGUUUUUCCAGCUGUGCUGCUUUGGAGCAGUUGAAACUCAGGAGAUGCCCCAAGAUAACUUGCUUGAAGAUACCUUCUCAGCAGCAGCGGCUCAGCUACCUGCAAGUGGUAAAUACAACAAUGGCAUUGGCGCCUAGCAAGUUCGUCCACCUGAAGUACAUGAGUAUUGAGUAUUUAGUCUUCUGGCGCCAGAGAUGCAGAGUCGUCACGGUGCAGACGGGUACACCCAGAAGUUUUGAGAGCUUAACUGUCGGCAUUUUUUGGACAACCUCGCGAGAGGACAGGGUUAAAGUUGCUUCCAGGCCCGUGUACUGGGGCUGUGAAGAGAGUGAUUCGUGGGUUUGCAGGACCCUGCUGACACGAUCAGGAGUUGCAGUAGAAAGGAAUGAGGUCGUCGCUAUUGCCCCCUCAUAA
rnacentral:rRNA from 1 species